rnacentral:sRNA from 3 species
AGCGCAACAGGAUCCACGCCGCGCGUAACGACGAGGUAGUCGCGCAGCGCGAUGCUGUGCCGGCCUUC